AAUGGAACGUGUCUACCUUUGAACUGCGCCCAGCAGCGCUGCAAGAUUCAGUGAAUGAAGGACACCGUAUCCAAUUGAAAUUACAGAGGAAUUUGAGAUUUUGAACUUACAUGUGCAAGUAUUCAUACCAGAAACCUGAUUCUAUGUGUUGCACUUAUCCAGUCAGGGAACAGAAGCAAACUGGGGGCUCCAUCCUGCCAGGGGCUAAGCACUCUGGUCCCAGAUCAAUGAAGAACUUAAGCAUAUUCUUACCAUCAAGCAUGUGAACAGUCUCGUUGACUUCAACAGGACAGCUUAUGGACUCAAAAUUAUGCAAAUACUUAACUGUUUUGAGGAAUUGGAGCCUCAGUACCUUGCAGAAUUGAGCUAUGUGUCGCCUAUGUGUCAAAUCAUCUUGAAUUUCAAAUAAUCACAACAAAUUGCUUGUGAAUAAGACACAGGCCAAGAAAUAUUUGGCAAAAAAAUUCAAAUAAGAAAUAAACUUGAGAAAAUCACAAUCUGUUUGAAGACAAUUCACAACAGAGAUAGAGGCAAGAUUUGUCCAAUAAAUUAUUCAUUACCAA